rnacentral:rRNA from 1 species
AGAGUUUGAUCCUGGCUCAGAACGAACGCUGGCGGCGUGCCUAACACAUGCAAGUCGAACGUGAUUAAAGAGCUUGCUCUUUAUGAAAGUGGCGCACGGGUGAGUAACGCGUAGAUAAUCUACCUGAUGGAUCGGGAUAACACUUCGAAAGGGGUGCUAAUACCGGAUAAGCCCACGGAGUCCUUGGACACUGCGGGAAAAGGGGGGGACCUUCGGGCCUUCCGUCAUCAGAUGAGUCUGCGUACCAUUAGCUAGUUGGUAGGGUAAAGGCCUACCAAGGCGACGAUGGUUAGCUGGUCUGAGAGGAUGAUCAGCCACACUGGAACUGAGACACGGUCCAGACUCCUACGGGAGGCAGCAGUGGGGAAUUUUGCGCAAUGGGGGAAACCCUGACGCAGCAACGCCGCGUGAGUGAUGAAGGCCCUUGGGUCGUAAAGCUCUGACAGAGGGAAAGAAAUGUGUGGGGGCUAAUAUCCCUUGUACUUGACGGUACCCUCAAAGGAAGCACCGGCUAACUCCGUGCCAGCAGCCGCGGUAAUACGGGGGGUGCAAGCGUUGUUCGGAUUUAUUGGGCGUAAAGCGCGUGUAGGCGGUUUUAUAAGUCUGAUGUGAAAGCCCUGGGCUCAACCUGGGAAGUGCAUUGGAUACUGUAAGACUUGAAUACGGGAGAGGGCAGUGGAAUUCCUGGUGUAGGAGUGAAAUCCGUAGAUAUCAGAGGAACACCGGUGGCGAAAGCGGCUGCCUGGACCGAUAUUGACGCUGAGACGCGAAAGCGUGGGUAGCAACAGGAUUAGAUACCCUGGUAG